rnacentral:rRNA from 1 species
UAGUGAAUCUUCCACAAUGGUCGCAAGUCUGAUGGAGCAACGCCGCGUGAGUGAAGAAGGUUUUCGGAUCGUAAAGCUCUGUUGUUGGUGAAGAAGGAUAGAGGCAGUAACUGGUCUUUAUUUGACGGUAAUCAACCAGAAAGUCACGGCUAACUACGUGCCAGCAGCCGCGGUAAUACGUAGGUGGCAAGCGUUGUCCGGAUUUAUUGGGCGUAAAGCGAGCGCAGGCGGAAUGAUAAGUCUGAUGUGAAAGCCCACGGCUCAACCGUGGAACUGCAUCGGAAACUGUAAGUGUUGAGUGCAGAAGAGGAGAGUGGAAUUCCAUGUGUAGCGGUGGAAUGCGUAGAUAUAUGGAAGAACACCAGUGGCGAAGGCGGCUCUCUGGUCUGCAACUGACGCUGAGGCUCGAAGGCAUGGGUAGCGAACAGG